GACGAACGCUGGCGGCGUGCUUAACACAUGCAAGUCGAACGGUGAAGGGAUCAGCUUGCUGGUUCUGGCUGAGUGGCUAACGGGUGAGUAACACGUGAGUAACCUGCCCCCUUCUUCUGGAUAACCGCAUGAAAGUGUUGCUAAUACGGGAUCUUCUGGGUCUGUCGCAUGAUGGGUCUGUGUUAGAUCUUGUUUCGGUGGGGUAUGGGCUCGGGGCCUUUCAGCUUGGUGGUGGGGUGAUGGCCUACCAAGGCGGUGACGGGUAGCCGGGCUGAGAGGGUGGACGGUCACACGGGGACUGAGACACAGACCAGAAUGCGACGGGAGGGAGGAGUGGGGAAUAGUGCAGGAUGGGGGCAAGCCUGAUGAAGCGACGCCGGGUGAGGGAGGGAGGGCGUCGGGUUGUAAACCUCUUGCGACAGAGAAGCAGGCCUGCUCCUUGUGGGUGGGUUGACGGUAGCUGGAUAAGAAGCGCCGGCUAACUACGUG
rnacentral:rRNA from 1 species